AGUUAAUAAUCUUUAAAUUAAGAAUAUAUUUUGAAAAUAUAAAAAAGAAAAUAUUUCUAUUAACU
rnacentral:tRNA from 1 species